rnacentral:tRNA from 1 species
GUGGAUUUAGCUCAGUGGUAGAGCGCUUGCCUAGGAAGCGCAAGGCCCUGGGUUCGGUUCCCAGCUCCGCA